AACGAACGCUGGCGGCAUGCCUAACACAUGCAAGUCGAACGGUACCUCCGGGUCUAGUUGCGCACGGGUGCGUAACGCGUGGGAACCUGCCUUUAGGUUCGGAAUAAUUCCCCGUAAUGGGUGCUAACACCGGGUAAUUUCUGCUAAUAAAAGAUUUAUCGACUUUGUAUGGGCCGGCGUUGGAUUAGCUUGUUGGUAGGGUAAAAGCCUACCUCGGGGACGAUCCAUAGCUGGUCUGAGAGGAUGGUCAGCCACACUGGGACUGGGACGCGGCCGAGACUACUACGGGAGGCAGGAGUGGAGGAUAUUGCACAAUCGCCGAGAGCCUGAUGGAGCCAUGCCGGUUGAGUGCUGAAGGCGUUAGGGAAGUAAAGCUGUUUUAUCCGGGAUGGUAAUGACGGUACCGGGAGAAUAAGCUCCGGCUAACUCCGUG
rnacentral:rRNA from 1 species